rnacentral:rRNA from 1 species
GGUUGAUCCUGCCAGUAGUCAUAUGCUUGUCUC